UUGCAAUACAGUCACAUGACCUUUCACCUCGUCCAGAUUCAUGUCCACCAAUCCGUCUGGGUGCUUAACUUUUUUUUUGUCACUGAGUAUAUUUUGUUUAUUAUCAUCAACAGCUAUGUUCAAAAUUGUGGAGUUUAAGGAGACAAAUGAGGUAGAACUGGUCCCUGGUGUGUGGGUGAAAGAUGGUGUCUGCCACUGGCCCCCCUAUAAAGGAAAGCAGUUGGAUUCAUCAAUGAAGCAUCAGGUCACUCCAGAGCACAGCUGGAUACAGUGGGAAGUCAGAGUGAUGUUUAUAACAGAGAGUAAUGAGGAAGGGAGACGGAAAUGACGGGAAGCUGAACAGCGUUCUGACCUCCAGUCAGAAGCUGAAGAGUCUGGGAAAAAGAAAAGGCGAAAAAUGCCAAGUAACAGACUUCUAGAUGCCACUAAUGGUGCUUCAAGUGAGAGUGAAGAAGAAGCAGGACUGCAGCAAAGUGACAGACGUCUACCUGAGGCCCCACCAAUCAGCCAAGUUAAAAUUUUAACACCAUUGCAGACUGCUAAUACUGGAAGUCGCAGUACUAUUCCCUGGCUGAAGAAUCCACUUCUCCCUCUGGAAAUGAUGUGGCAACCUACUGAUGCCCUACGUGGAGAGCAUGAGCUAAACAAAAACCGUGCAGACUUGUUUUCCUCACCACCACCUCAUCCAGAGCCUUCAAAAGUUCAGAAGUCCUGGAUACCAUCUGAAGUUAAUCAGUUUCACCAAGACCAUUCAAAAACUUGACACCACCAUCACAGCUACAAAGGACUCUUGCUGAAG